GUUUUUCUGAGGGUUUGGAGGAAGAGAUGGCCAGCUCGGAGGAGGAUGACAUGGAAUGGACUCGUGUGAGGGAGGAUUUGGGUGUUGGGGAAACAGGCAAUGAAAGCAUGGGAGGUGAGUGGCGGGUUGCAGGAUCAGACCCAUGGACUGGCUGGAGGGAUGGAGCGGGAUCCACAGCUGGGGAUGCUGUGGGGCGUAGUCAAAGGUGCUUUAGCUCUGAUGAGGAUGAUGAGUUUGGGGCGCCUGGAAUUGGGAUGGCAGCUGACAGCGAUGAUGAGCUUGAACUGGGAUAAAUUGGGGUUUGGGAUCAAUGUCUAAUUGCGUUGGGCAAGGUAAUCUGGACGGACGCUUGGGCUUUUGUUGGGGAACUUCCUGAAGACGGGUGUGAUUCGUUGCUGGAUACCUUGGACCUCCGUCAUCUUUUUGACGGGCAAUACCUACUCACACUGGAUUGACGCUGGACUGACUGACUUCGAUUCUGGAUUAUCCCUUCUGCUGCUUAUCGGUGAGACCUUUGGAUUCCUAGACGACUACGUUUGGCUAUUGACCUCUGGACCGGAUUGGGACCCUGCUGACUGCUGUUUCCCUGACUGCUGAGCCUGGACCUGGAUAUCGUUGGCUGUUGAACCUUAAAUUGAAUCCUGACUACGACCACGUUUUCCUUCGCUGCAGGGAGGAAUAAACAAGCCUGGUUUAGUCUCCUGCUGUUUCUGAGUAGCAGAGAGGAAUCUGCUACCAGUCUGUUGUUUACAUUCUGAUUCCUGUUGAUCCUCCUUUGUUUGCAUUGUUUGCCAGGCUGAAGUAAGCACUCUUGAUUUAAUCCGGAUUAUACUUCUGUUUAACCCGGUUUUUCCCUUUGAGUUGUUUAAGCUCAAUCUGAGUUGUUUUUUGUUACCUAUCACACUGAAGUCAAGUGUUUGCCCUGUUCUUUGUCUCCUACGGGCAUUUUUAGUUCUGUAAUCUCAAUAAACUGAGUUUUGCUUUA